rnacentral:rRNA from 1 species
AUGUCAACGGCCAGCUUCCGCUUCCGCCGCCCGCCGCGACCGGCGCUGGAGGACGACGACCUGCUCUCCGAGAUCCUCCUCCGCCUGCCCCCGCAGCCGUCCUCCCUCCCGCGCGCCUCCCUCGUGUGCAGGCGCUGGCACAGCCUCGUCUCCGACCCCGCCUUCCGCCGCCGCUUCCGCGUCCACCACCGCCGCGGCCCUCCCCUCCUCGGCUUCUCCGACGACCACCACAGGAACACCUUCCAGCCGGCGCUGGGCGCCCCCCACCGCCUCCCCGGCGGCCUCUUCUCCCUGGAGCUCCACGGCAGCUACACGACCCUCGGAUGGCGCCACCGCCUCGCGCUCUUCUUCGUCCCGGUCUCGCUCCAGGUCCUCGUCUGGGACCCCGUCGCCGGCGACCAGCAUCGCCUGCCCGUGCCCCCGGAGUUCCGCCUGGACCUGGUGGUGGACAGCGGGGCGGUGCUUCGCGCCGCCGCUGCCGGAGACGCCGGCGACCACUUCCAGGUGGUCCUGGUAGGCAGCGACCCCAAGCAGCCUACAAGAGUGCUCGCCUCCGUCUACUCGUCGGAGACCGGCGCGUGGGGCGAUUUCAUCUCGGCGCCUAUUUCAUCCGAGACUUUCUUUUUUACAGGCAAGCCUGCUGUGCUGGCCGGGGAUUGCCUUCACUGGUCGGUUGCCGCCCCAGGUUCAGGUUCAAGAAGCAUCCUCAAGUUUGAUUUGGAUAGGCAGAGCCUAGCCAUGGAAUUGCUGCCAGGGGACAUGUAUACCCGGGGCAGUCCCGCGUUCACGGUCACCCGAGGAGAGGGUGGUCGGAUGGGUUUCUUUUUCUUGUCAGGCUUUACUGCCCAACUAUGGAGUACGGUGACCGAUUGCGAUCGUGCCGAAAUAUGGGAGCCAGGAAGAAUUAUCGAACUGGACAAGUUGCUUCGACUACAUUCAAAGAAAGAUCCCCCGCAUAUGGUAGGAUAUGCUGAGGAAAACAAUGUGGUGUUCCUCUGGACAGUUGUUGGUGUCUUCAUGGUCCAUCUCGAGUCAUUGCAGUUCAAGAGGAUCUCCAAGGCCACCAUCUGA